CAGAGGUUAUGAUGGGCAUGGU
rnacentral:siRNA from 1 species